GACGAACCGUGCGAACGUUAUUCGGAAUCACUGGGCUUAAAGCGCGUGUAGGCGGGGCGGCACGUCGGUCGCUGAAAGCCCCCGGCUCAACCGGGGAACGGGCGCCGAUACGACCGCCCUGGAGGGACGUAGGGGGGCCUGGAACUUCCGGUGGAGCGGUGAAAUGCGUUGAGAUCGGAAGGAACGCCCGUGGCGAAAGCGAGGCCCUGGACGUCUGCUGACGCUGAGACGCGAAAGCCAGGGGAGAGCGAACGGG
rnacentral:rRNA from 1 species